GAGACACCCUUCUGGGGCAAGACUUGCUUCAGUGGGGCUUUGGUGUUCACUGAGUCUGCCCCCUGAGUGUGUCCCU
rfam:Myotis lucifugus cont2.10006, whole genome shotgun sequence.